rnacentral:rRNA from 1 species
GCGCGAAACCUCCGCAAUGCGAGCAAUCGCGACGGGGGGACCCCAAGUGCUACUCUUAACGGGGUAGCUUUUCUAAAGUGUAAAAAGCUUCAGGAAUAAGGGCUGGGCAAGACCGGUGCCAGCCGCCGCGGUAACACCGGCAGCUCAAGUGGUGGCCGCUUUUAUUGGGCCUAAAGCGUUCGUAGCCGGCCUGAUAAGUCUCUGGUGAAAUCCCGCAGCUUAACUGUGGGAAUUGCUGGAGAUACUAUCAGGCUUGAGGCCGGGAGAGGCUGGAGGAACUCCCAGGGUAGGGGUGAAAUCCUAUAAUCCUGGGAGGACCACCUGUGGCGAAGGCGGCCAGCUGGAACGGACCUGACGGUGAGGAACGAAAGCCAGGGGCGCGAACCG